rfam:Camelus ferus unplaced genomic scaffold scaffold170, whole genome shotgun sequence.
GAGGGUAUAGCUUAAGCAGUAGAGUACCUGCUUAGCAUGCAGGAAGUCCUAGGUUCAAUCCUCAGUACCUCCU